rnacentral:sRNA from 1 species
GGCUUCUUUGCCUUGUCUACCUCUUUUCUCCAUGUUCUUUCUGUCUCCUUUUCUUGAGAUAGAUACCUGGUAGUACUUCCUUUCUCUUUUCGGGGACUUACUCACUUAUGGAUGGUGCCCUAGAACAUUUGAGGGCCAAGCUUUAGAUGAAAAUCCCAAAUAAUAGAAAGGAUGUAUUGGAAGCUGCACUGUUUUCUGAGUCAUUUGUUAGGAUAAAAGAGAAACUGCUAUUUAAUUCUUUUUUUUUUUUCUGAGAUGGAUUCUCACUCUGUCACUCAGGCAGGAGUGCAAUGGUGUGUUCUUGGCUCACUGCAACCUCCGCCCCCGGGGUUCAAAUGAUUCUCCUGCCUCAGCCCCCAAAGUAGCUGGGAUUAUAGGUGUGCACCACCAUGCCCUGCUAAUUUUUGUAUUUUUAGUAGAGAUGGGGUUUCACCACGUUGGGCAGGCUGGUCUCGAACUCCUGACCUCAAGUGAUCCACCCGCCCGGCCUCCCAAAGUGUUGGGAUUACAGGCAUGAGCCACCGCGCCCAGCCUGCUAUUUAAUUCUUAAAUGAAAGUUAAGGCUGGGUGUCGUGGCUCAUGCCUUUAAUCCCAGCACUUUGGGAGGCUGAGGCAGGAGGAUCACUUGAGGUCAGUUGUUUGAGGCCAGGCAGCAACAUAGCAAGACCCUGUCUCUACAAAAAAUAAAAAUAAAAAAAUUAUCUGAGUGUGAUGGAAUGCACUUCUAAUCCUAGCUACUCAGGAAGCUGAGGCAAGGGGGAUCACUUGAGUGCAGGAAUUCAUGGCCGAAAUGAGCUGUGAUCACCAGUGCACUCCAGCUUGGGUGACAGAGCAAGACCCUGUCUCAAAAAAAUUUAAAAAAGCAUCUCCAAAGAUUUUCAGUUUAUUUCUCUUCAAUAGUACUUUAGGAUGGAGCUGAUGCAUGCUGAAAAACUGAGGAAGGAGAAGGAAGAAUUUGAAAAAGCCAGUAUGGAUGUGGAGAAUCCUGAUUAUUCUGAAGAAAUCCUUAAGGGCGAGUUGGCACGGAUCAUCUACAAAAAUUCUGUAAGCAUAAUUAAAGGUGCAGAAUUUCACGUGUCACUGCUUUCAAUUGCACAGCUAUUUGAUUUUGCCAAAGAUCUACAAAAAGAGAUUUAUGAUGACCUUCAGGCUCUACACACAGAUGAUCCUCUCACUUGGGAUUAUGUGGCAAGGCGAGAAUUAGAGAUUGAGUCACAGACAGAAGAGCAGCCUACAACAAAACAAGCCAAAGCAGUGGAGGUCGGCCGGAAGGAGGAGAGGUGCUAUGCUGUAUAUGAAGAGGCAGUGAAGACUCUGCCAACAGAGGCCAUGUGGAAGUGUUACAUCACCUUUUGCUUGGAAAGAUUUACUAAGAAGUCAAAUAGUGGGUUCCUUAGAGGGAAGAGGUUGGAAAGAACCAUGACUGUAUUCAGGAAGGCACAUGAACUGAAGCUUCUGUCAGAAUGCCAAUACAAGCAGCUGAUUGUUUCGUUGCUGUGUCAUAACUUCCUGAGGGAAGCUCUGGAAGUGGCAGUAGCUGGAACUGAAUUGUUUAGAGACUCUGGGACAAUGUGGCAGCUGAAGCUGCGGGUGCUGAUCGAGUCAAAGAGCCCUGACGUAGCCAUGCUUUUUGAAGAAGCCUUUGUGCACCUGAAACCCCAGGUUUGUCUGCCAUUGUGGAUUUCCUGGGCAGAGUGGAGUGAAGGUGCCAAAAGCCAAGAAGACACUGAGGCAGUCUUUAAGAAAGCUCUCUUAGCUGUCAUAGGUGCUGACUCUGUAACCCUGAAGAAUAAGUAUCUGGAUUGGGCUUAUCGAAGUGGUGGCUACAAAAAGGCCAGAGCUGUGUUUAAAAGUUUACAGGAGAGCCGACCAUUUUCAGUUGACUUUUUCAGGAAAAUGAUUCAGUUUGAAAAGGAGCAAGAAUCCUGCAAUAUGGCGAACAUAAGAGAAUAUUAUGAGAGAGCUUUGAGAGAGUUUGGAUCCGCAGAUUCUGAUCUUUGGAUGGAUUAUAUGAAAGAAGAAUUGAACCACCCCCUUGGUAGACCUGAGAACUGUGGACAGAUCUACUGGCGAGCGAUGAAAAUGUUGCAGGGAGAGUCAGCAGAGGCAUUUGUAGCUAAACAUGCUAUGCAUCAGACUGGCCAUUUGUGAAGAUGAAGAAUACAGUCAGCUUUGUGAAAUAGUAUUGCAAGCAAGCCCUGUGGGCAAAUUUGUAUUGAGUCCCUCUGUAAUUUGCUCAGUGAUGGCAGCCAAGAUGGCUGUCUGGUUUGAGACACACUUUAAUUUUAUGUUAACUUGUUAAAUCUUUUUUAAAAAUUAAAAAAUUUUUAUGAUUG